rnacentral:tRNA from 1 species
GGGGGCAUGGUUCAGUGGUAGAACAUCUACUUGGCCUGCAGAAGGUGUCAAGUUCAGUCCCCA